GUGGGGAAUCUUCCGCAAUGGACGAAAGUCUGACGGAGCAACGCCGCGUGAGUGAUGAAGGUCUUCGGAUUGUAAAGCUCUGUUAAUCGGGACGAAAGAGCCUAGUGUGAAUAAUGCUAGGAAGUGACGGUACCGGAAUAGAAAGCCACGGCUAACUACGUGCCAGCAGCCGCGGUAAUACGUAGGUGGCAAGCGUUGUCCGGAAUUAUUGGGCGUAAAGCGCGCGCAGGCGGAUCUGCCAGUCUGUCUUAAAAGUUCGGGGCUUAACCCCGUGAUGGGAUGGAAACUACAGAUCUAGAGUAUCGGAGAGGAAAGUGGAAUUCCUAGUGUAGCGGUGAAAUGCGUAGAUAUUAGGAAGAACACCAGUGGCGAAGGCGACUUUCUGGACGAAAACCGACGCUGAGGCGCGAAAGCCAGGGGAGCGAACGGGAUUAGAAACCCGGGUAGUCC
rnacentral:rRNA from 1 species